rnacentral:rRNA from 1 species
CGAGUGGCGGACGGGUGAGCAACGCGUAGGAAUCUGCCCACGGGUGGGGGACAACCCGGCGAAAGCCGGGCUAAUACCGCAUAAGUUCUAAGGAAGAAAGCGGGGGACCUUCGGGCCUCGCGCCGGUGGAUGAGCCUGCGUGGGAUUAGCUAGUUGGCGGGGUAAGGGCCCACCAAGGCGACGAUCCCUAACCGGCCUGAGAGGGUGGCCGGUCACACCGGGACUGAGACACGGCCCGGACUCCUACGGGAGGCAGCAGUGGGGAAUAUUGGACAAUGGGCGGAAGCCUGAUCCAGCAAUGCCGCGUGUGUGAAGAAGGCCUGCGGGUUGUAAAGCACUUUGAGUGGGAAAGAAGGGGCGGAAGUUAACACCUUUCGUCAUUGACGUUACCCACAGAACAAGCACCGGCUAACUCCGUGCCAGCAGCCGCGGUAAUACGGAGGGUGCGAGCGUUAAUCGGAAUUACUGGGCGUAAAGCGCGCGUAGGCGGCUUGCCAAGUCCGACGUGAAAUCCCCGGGCUUAACCUGGGAACUGCGCCGGAAACUGGCAGACUAGAGUGCGGGAGAGGGGUGUGGAAUUUCCGGUGUAGCAGUGAAAUGCGUAGAGAUCGGAAGGAACACCAGUGGCGAAGGCGACACCCUGGACCGACACUGACGCUGAGGCGCGAAAGCGUGGGGAGCAAACAGGAUUAGAUACCCUGGUAGUCCACGCCGUAAACGAUGGGGGCUAGCCGUCGGAGGCGAACGGGCCUUCGGUGGCGCAGCUAACGCGCUAAGCC